rnacentral:lncRNA from 1 species
UGAAAGUGGUGGUGAAAUAUAUACUCCACAAAGUUCCGAGGAAGGGAGGAUCAAUAGUCAUCAAGAUCAAGAAGACUUUCCAAUUUCACAUAUCAAAGAUGAUGGUAAGAGCUUUAUAAACUCAACAAGUCAUUUCUCCAGUUCUGAGAAUGCUUCUACUCCUGUUGAGAAUAGGCAGGAGGAUGCGAGAGAUGUUCUUACCAAAAAUGGUUCUUAUGAAGGUGAAAAUAGUGAGAAUUAUAAAGACAGGAGGCAAGAAUUUGGUGCCCAUCAUAGAGAGAAUUAUCAGGAAAAUGAACAAGUACAAGAAAUUAUCGAAGAGGAAGAAUGUAAGAAUGCUAUGAAGAAUGACUCGGAAGAAAGUGAGGAUGCUAUGAAGAAUGACUCGGACGAAAGUGAGGAUGCUAUGAAGAAUGACUCGGAAGAAAGUGAGGAUGCUAUGAAGAAUGACUCGGACGAAAGUGAGGAUGCUAUGAAGAAUGACUCGGAAGAAAGUGAGGAUGCUAUGAAGAAUGACUCGGAAGAAAGUGAGGAUGCUAUGAAGAAUGACAUGGAAGAAAGUGAGGAUGCUAUGAAGAAUGACACGGAAGAAAGUAAGGAUGCUAUGAAGAAUGGUUCGGAAGAAAGUGAAGUAAAUUCUGUUGACACGGAUAGUUAUGGAGCAACGAGUAGCAUCCUUAACAAUGAGAGAUUAAAGCAUGUAAAGUCAGUUCGGUC